GAAUGAUGAUUGAACCACACUAGCUAGUAACUUGCUUUUUCCUCUUUGUAUAGGGCCAUUAAUAUAACCACAAGUUUUCUCCCCCACAAAGAAAGCACUCCCAUGACUGGGAAUGUUGAUUAGCCCAACAUUCCCUUAUAGGUGGAUGGAAUCUGAGAAGUCAACAUUUGUUAAAUGUUGAUAACUGCUGAAUAUCUGGCACGUUAGGGGUGUCAAGACGAGUUGAUGGAGGAUUUUCAGUCAAUUUCAGCAACAUCUACGCCUUAUUCACUCCAGGGUGUGGACUGCCUUUCAAGUGAUGAGGAAAGGAUGGAACACGGAACUUUGACUCAAGUAGCAGUAUUGCCAUGGAGUAGCCUAAGGAUCUUGGUGAAUAUCCCAGUUUAACAGGCUCUGAGUAAAGGAAUCCUGCAGUUCUUACAAAAUGAAGAUUUGAACCUUCCUAAUAAAAGCUCACAUAUUCUAAGAAGCCUUCCAGAUUGAGUUCAUAUCUCUCUAGAUAUACUCAUCG